rnacentral:rRNA from 1 species
UGGGGAAUUUUGGACAAUGGGCGAAAGCCUGAUCCAGCCCUGCCGCGUGAGUGAAGAAGGCCUUCGGGUUGUAAAGCUCUUUUAGUCGGAAAGAAAGAGUUGCAAUGAAUAAUUGUGAUUUAUGACGGUACCGACAGAAAAAGCACCGGCUAACUACGUGCCAGCAGCCGCGGUAAUACGCAGGGUGCGAGCGUUAAUCGGAAUUACUGGGCGUAAAGGGUGCGCAGGCGGUCUUGCAAGUCAGAUGUGAAAGCCCCGGGCUUAACCUGGGAAUUGCGUUUGAAACUACAAGGCUAGAGUGCAGCAGAGGGGAGUGGAAUUCCAUGUGUAGCAGUGAAAUGCGUAGAGAUGUGGAAGAACACCGAUGGCGAAGGCAGCUCCCUGGGUUGACACUGACGCUCAUGCACGAAAGCGUGGGGAGCAAACA